ACUUGAUGCUUCGUUUUUAGGUGCCCCCUACAUUUAAGGGGCGAAAGCAAAUUGAGAACCGCAGAGUGGUUGAGUUGGGUGGAAAGUCCGUUAAGAAGCACCGCACACCGUUAAGUGUUGCGAAGCUAGCUUUGAAGAAUCAGAAGAAACGAGAACAGAAGAAAAUGGAAGAGGAAAAACUCCUUGGGAUCUUUAGGAAGAGGGACAAGGACACCAAACCUCACAAGAAAAGGCCAGAGGACCGAGUGCUUAGGGCCACAGAAGGGCGCUUUAGGAACGGUAUACUGAACGUCAAGCAUCUUCUGGCGCCACCGAAACCAUCAGGCAAGGACAUGUCGGAACCGAAGAUGAGGAAGGACAAACACAAGGGGAAGGUUAAGCAGAAGGAAGAGACGUUGAAGAAAGCACACUUCUGUAACCAGGCUUGCUAUUAAGAAUUUUAGAUAGAUGAUUGAUGAAACGUUUAAAUGACACCUUUUUGUGGUCAUCCUGAAAUUAAGAUGUUUCCUUGCUCUACUGGAAUCUUUUAAGUGAUCCUUGAAACGAUGUAAUUCUCCAUGAUGCGGUUCAGGAAGAGAGAGGCUUAUUUGGUUCAGUUUUAUAUGCCCUUCGAUCACUGGGCUUGUACAAUAUGUUUUUGCUUAGUCACCAUGUGCUCGGAUUACAUAUUUGUAUUUGUAUUGUCAUCUUGGAUAUGAUCAAAGCUAGGGGUAUUUAUCGACG